rnacentral:misc_RNA from 1 species
AACGCAUAUUGCACCCUCUGGUAUUCCGGAGGGUAUGCUUGUUUGAGAACCGUUACAUCUCUCACAAACUGGACCUGAUUUCGGUCAGGAAAGGCAAGUGGAUCUGGCCGUUCCCUGCAAAAACCUUUUUAUUAAGGUUUUAAUGGGAUGUGCUGAAAUUCAGUGAUCGGAGCUUGCGUGCUUAAAGGGUUUUCUCUCUAACAGUACCGUACUCUUUGAUAACCGACGUAGAUUAAUUGGGUACUUUGUUACCUUUUCUCAGCGUCCGGAAAAUCGAGUCGCGAAACUUGAAAGAAUUCAUCCCAAACCUUUUCGCUAUGCCUAUAAGGUAACCGCGAGUAUACGGCUCAUACCUGAACAUGCCAGGCGAUCUAUAUACCGAAACUGUCCCCGUACUUGCUUGCGAGUGGUUGGAUGUUUCGAUGCAAUAGGUUGUACACCUGAUACUUUGGUCUCAAAUCAAGCAAGACGACCCGCUGAACUUAA